UAAAAACCCCGACUUCGGAAGGGGUGUAUUUAUUAGAUACAAAACCAAUGCCCUUCGGGGCUCUUUGGUGAUUCAUGAUAACUAUACGAAUCGCACGGCCUUGCGCCGGCGAUGGUUCAUUCAAAUUUCUUCCCUAUCAACUUUCGAUGUUUGGGUAUUGGCCAAACAUGGUUGCAACGGGUAACGGAGGGUUAGGGCUCGACCCCGGAGAAGGAGCCUGAGAAACGGCUACUACAUCCAAGGAAGGCGGCAGGCGCGCAAAUUACCCAAUCCCGACUCGGGGAGGUGGUGACAAUAAAUACUAAUGCUAGGCGGUUUCUGGCGGUGUUGUUGGAGGAAUGACAAUUAUUAUCCCUUAUUAACGAGGAAUUAUAGGAGGGGUAGUGUGGUGCCAGCGGCCGCGGUUACUCCAGCUAUAAUAGAGUAUAAUAAAGUUGUUGUGGUUAAAAAGCUAGUAGUUGAACCUUGGGCCUGGCUGGCAGGUCCGCCUCACCGCGUGCACUGGUUCGGCGGGGUCUUUCCCUCUGUGGAACCCCAUACCCUUUACUGGGCGUGGCGGGGAAACAGGACAUUUUA
rnacentral:rRNA from 1 species